UACGAAGGGGGCUAGCGUUGCUCGGAAUGACUGGGCGUAAAGGGCGCGUAGGCGGUUCGUACAGUCAGGCGUGAAAUUCCCGGGCUUAACCUGGGGGCUGCGUUUGAUACGUGCGGGCUUGAGUUCGGAAGAGGGUCGUGGAAUUCCCAGUGUAGAGGUGAAAUUCGUAGAUAUUCGGAAGAACACCAGUGGCGAAGGCGACAUACUGGCUCAUUACUGACGCUGAGGCUCGAAGCGUGGGAGC
rnacentral:rRNA from 1 species